rnacentral:rRNA from 1 species
GAGGGGUGGGUGAGAGAGGGGGAUCGUUGGCGAGUGAGAGGGGGGGAGUAGAGGGGUCGCUACCGCAGGUAGCUAGAGGGGAAGGAGAGGGGUGGCACGGCUGGCGGAGGAGGAGAGGAGGAAGGAUUUGUGCGCGGUGGUCGUCUAGUUGUAGAGUGCGGCGGCCGGGACAGGGUAAGGUGGGAGCCGACGGUGGAAGGGGUGGGGCUCGAACCCAGAUCGGUGGGUGGCAGAAGGGACAUGGGUCGACGGGAGUAGUCGAGGCCAGAGCAGGCGCUGCACGACGAGGUUGGUAACCAUGCGCCAUCACCCCCAAGCCAGGUCCUCCGCCGACGACGUCAGGACUACCGCGGCGGAGACGCCACCGAGGUAAGGCCGCCGUAGUCCCCUCGUGUGCUCACAGGUGCUCGUCGUUCGUCUCUGCCGGUUCCUUCGUUCCUGCGCCCGUUUACUACGUCGUCGCGGCAGGAACUCCUCUACGGCGGGCACCUAUGUUGUCGGUACCCGCACCUUCUACUAAAACCUAGGACACUCGGCUGCGGCGACGGCGUGUCCAUCAGUUGCUACCGCACGACAACAAGGUACAGGUUCUUCAGCGGGUACUCCGCAGCAGCACCGUAACGGUCGAGGUCGAACGGGGACGGUAGCAGAGACGGCAGCCGUGAACGUGCGUGCGAGGAACCUCUCUGCGAUGUUCGUAAAGACGAGUCUCUUUCCCGCCACGUCUGGACUAAAUAUACACAUACUACUCCUGUACUGAUGGAACCUAUUCUGUUUUUAUAACGUAUGUACGUAUAAACAGUCCACUAAAGAUCAUGUUUGAUAAGUUAUUAGAUAAAUACAAUAGGUCUUGUUUUUAUGAAGUGUGUGAAAACACAAAACAGAUUAACGUCCACAUACCCUGUAAACAUGUUAGGUGUAUACUUCUAUUCCGUUUUACUCUUCAAACCCAAAACAAGUUUUACAGGAGAGUGCAGUGAAAACCGGUUUCUUUUCUAUCUCAGGUUCAGAGAGUGCAAGACCUAAGUCUAAGCCUGACGCGUCUGUAUGGACUGAGUUUUGCGGUUGUUAAAAAAGUAUUUCUGAGGUUUAACCCACUAAGAAAAAAACAACCUUUCAUCUAAAGCACGAGAAAGGUUCGGUAAAAUUAAGUGGAAGUUUAAGCAGGCCUCGUAACUCUAUAGCCGCUUUGUUAAACUGCGACAUCGUCUUAGGCUCAGUUUGUUGUUCAGGUUUCCACAACGUAGUGGAGGUGAACCCGGGUACUCGGAACAUGCUGGAUCCCAACCAAAAUUCGACGGAACCCUGCGAGAGGGUGGAAGAACCGGCGGUGGGAAACGAGGAUAUAUUCAUCUAGGUAGAUCAUCUAAAAAGAAACCCAAAAUAAAUCAAUUUUCAAUUGGUAUCGACGUUGAAGCACGUGAAGCAAACACAGGUUGCUGGUCUGGUUCUGGCGAAUACUUUGGGGUGAAGAUAAUUAUGAAGUAGGUAUAAGCGUUAUAAGUCUAACGAAUUAGUAUAAGAACGAACAAGAAGCUAACGAACGUCCUUAUCUGGAAGCACCAGUCCAACUAGCACGAGGCCGCACCCGUUAUUGGAGAGCCUCAACCAAAUCGCUGACGAUUCCGCGCUGCAGGAGCGUGCAAGCAUCAGCCUAACAGUUUCAGCAGAGGUGGUUUAGUUAUCAUUAGUAGAGUAGCUUUCUAGCCCUGUGGGGCGGAGAUAGUUCACCAUAGUCAAAAGUCCAACGAGCCAGUUUAAACGGAGGAAUAUUCGACUAACACUGUAUACCCCGCGCGAGAAUGUUCUUAAUGUUCCGACUUGACACGUGGCACAGAAGAACCUCGACCCUAUAGGUACAUCUCUCCGUCUGAUGAAUGUUAGUUGAAAACCCAGAGGACGUUUUAUUUAUAGGAACCCCUUUACUACUCCCACAACACGAAAGUUCGACCUUAUCAUCGUCCUUUAUAAAACACGAUCAAGCGUUGCUACUUCUACACCACUUGUACAUACUACCGUUACUCCUUCUGUUCUAACAAUUCUAUGAACAGGUCAAGACGUCCUUACCGCUCCUCCUCCUCAAACGAGUGUCAAACGAAGUUGGUUAGGGUGGAAGAAGACGCCGUUUCCUUUACACGUUCGGGUAUCACCUACUAAAUUUAGUUUUAAGAGUGAUACUCAUACUCUAUGGGCUCCUCUUGAACUGUUCGGUUGUCUCUAGAUUUCUCCCGAUACUUCCGAUACUUCCUCUCCUAGUACAUCCUUAUCUACUCCUCUUGGUCAUGGACUUCCGAAUCAGUAUACGUGUCUACACACGUUUCCCAACCUUUGUCGUCACGUAUGUCAUAAGGGUUGACGACUUGUAUCCCUUACGAAAUCCGUAUACUAUUACUUGAAGUCUUUCUUUAAGGUACCGUUCCAAAAACUUCUUUUAGAUACCGGUCGGCGUAUGUGUAUAAGAGUACGGUUCGUGUUAGUGGUGUACUUCUUUUAAUACCUUCGGUCGGGUCGUCGGUAGCGUAUGGAACUACUUACCGUAAGAUUAAACACCUCAUCUUCAUUCAAGAGAUGUUGUACGUUUACACUAAUACUUUCCUAUUUCCUAUUUCAGUCGGGAACUCUCACACAGGUUCUCUUUUGUGUUCACGUUUCUUACGUUUCUUGAACCCGUAUACUACUUCUGUACAGGAGAUGAAAUAGGAUUUCCGUUCGGUUCUUUAUCCUUUUCCUUUUUACAACUUGGUGUUCUGUAUCUUCUGUAUCUUCGGUUACGGUAUCUGCGACUUUGAUGAUCACGAUGUUUCUUCUUUUGUCCUCCACCAUCUUCCCGUUUCAGAUCGAGUUUUUCAUACGAUGUUUGGUGACAACAUUCGAGAGGUGUAGGACUUCGUAGAUUCUACUGUACACGAUGUGUAGUCACCGCCUCCUGCUUUUUUUUAAUUCCACCCCGCUUGAGAUUUCGGGUUAUUUACUACACUACGUUAUAGUUUUUAUCGAAAAUGUGUUAUUAUCAUGUGAGUGUUAAAAUGCACUAAAAUUUGAUUAAGUUUAUUUUGUCUUUUACGUUCGUAUAAAUUUAUUUAGACUUUUGUAUACCUAUUACUUCGAAAUUACGAUAGUUUCUAACGCUUCGAUAAGAGUCUUUUAAAUGUAGUACUUAAGUGUUGUAUUUUUACAUCUUUAAAUAUCGAGAGGUACACUACCGUACCACAUAUAAAAAAAGAGUCUCUCUCUCUCGCGCCAAUAAAAAUCCUUUUUUUCUCGUACAGAAAAAAACUCUUUCUCCCUAUCUCACAAAAAAAUCCACUAUCGCACACACAAAAAAGUUAUUCUCUCUAUCACACAAAAAAAUUCUUCUUUUCUCUACCGCAACACAUGAACACGCGGGCUGACUAGUUGACCUACCCGAGUUAACGAAACAGGCAAGGCGCAUCGCUUGACACGGGUCGUCCUCCUUGAGUACCCGGGUUUAAUGUACCCGGGUUUAUUGUACCUGUCUUAGACUGCUCGCUGAUCCGGGUGAGCAAAGAGAAGCAAGAGAAGAAAAAGAUCGCUGCCACUGAGCUCCAUAUCUUGGUCUGUCGCUGUCGCUGUCGCAUGCGCAUGGACAUCUUUAGCAAACCGCGUUUUAGUUCCAUCCCGCCCGCGGGACGGAGCGGGAUGGUCCUCGAGGCGGACACGAUGUGUACUAUCGGGUCGUUUCUUAUGUUCUUCGUUUUCUACAGGAGGCAGCGUCUUGUGUUUUUCGUUUUUCUUCGAACUAACGUGAGUACACGGUUUUUACACUCUACUUCACGACGAAAGACCUCGUGUUACGUAUACACUUGGGACAACAAAACAACAACGUAACAUGAUACAUCUGAACAUUUCCGGAACGAAAACCCAUCAGACAUACGUAUACACUUGGAACAACAAAUCAACUACGUCGAUGUACAACGAAAACCCACCAGUCAUACGUAUAUACUUGUAACGACACAUCAACUACGUUGAUGUACACUUGGAACGACACAUCAACUACGUUGAUGUACAAUUG